rnacentral:tRNA from 1 species
GAAUAUGAAGCGAUAUAUUGCAAUUAGUUUCGACCUAAUAUUAGGUAAAUUUUACCCUUAUUCU